rnacentral:rRNA from 1 species
GGAAUUUUGGACAAUGGGGGCAACCCUGAUCCAGCCAUGCCGCGUGUGUGAAGAAGGCCUUCGGGUUGUAAAGCACUUUCGGCCGGAACGAAAUCGCGUGGGUUAACAGCCCGCGUGGACGACGGUACCGGCAGAAGACGCACCGGCUAACGACGUUCCAGCAGCCGCGGUAAUACGUAGGGUGCAAGCGUUAAUCGGAAUUACUGGGCGUAAAGUGGGCGCAGGUGGCUUCGCAAGUCGAGUGUGAAAUCCCCGGGCUUAACUUGGGAAUUGCGCUCGAAACUACGGGGCUCGAGUGUGGCAGAGGGAGGUGGAAUUCCACGUGUAGCGGUGAAAUGCGUAGAGAUGUGGAGGAACACCAAUGGCGAAGGCAGCCUCCUGGGCCAACACUGACGCUCAUGCACGAAAGCGUGGGGAGCAAA